rnacentral:rRNA from 1 species
UGCAGUCGAGCGAUGAAGCACCUUCGGGUGUGAAUUAGCGGCGAACGGGUGAGGAACACGUGAGAAAUCUGCCUUCAACUCUGGGAUAACUCCGUGAAAACGGGGCUAAUACCGGAUAUGAGAUCUACAGGCAUCUGUGGAUCUGGAAAGUUUUUCGGUUGAAGAUGAUCUCGCGGCCUAUCAGCUUGUUGGUGAGGUAAUGGCUCACCAAGGCGACGACGGGUAGCCGGCCUGAGAGGGCGACCGGCCACACUGGGACUGAGACACGGCCCAGACUCCUACGGGAGGCAGCAGUGGGGAAUAUUGGGCAAUGGAGGAAACUCUGACCCAGCGACGCCGCGUGCGGGAUGAAGGCCUUCGGGUUGUAAACCGCUUUCAGCAGGGAAGAAGCGAAAGUGACGGUACCUGCAGAAGAAGCACCGGCUAACUAUGUGCCAGCAGCCGCGGUAAUACAUAGGGUGCAAGCGUUGUCCGGAAUUAUUGGGCGUAAAGAGCUCGUAGGUGGUUCGUCACGUCGGAUGUGAAAAUCAGGGGCUCAACCCCUGACCUGCAUCCGAUACGGUCGAGCUAGAGUUUGGUAGGGGAGACUGGAAUUCCUGGUGUAGCGGUGGAAUGCGCAGAUAUCAGGAGGAACACCGAUGGCGAAAGCAGGUCUCUGGGCCAAUACUGACACUGAGGAGCGA